CUCAGUAGUACUAGGUAUUUUUAUGAGCUUCCUAACACCAGUGCCUCCUCCCACACUCUGAAUCAUAGCUCAGGCUUUAUAACUUCAUGAAAUAUGAUUUUAUCUUGACCUUUGGGUAUGCUGUUAUGGAGGUGUAUGUACGCUGGUACACAGACGAUCCGCGCCUACGGCUUCCCUUCAAAACCCCUUCAAUGACUUUACGAAGCUGAAAAUUAAAACCUCCGUCUUAACUUCCUAA